rnacentral:rRNA from 1 species
UACGUAGGGUGCGAGCGUUGUCCGGAAUUAUUGGGCGUAAAGAGCUCGUAGGCGGCUUGUCGCGUCGUCCGUGAAAACCUGGGGCUCAACUCCAGGCUUGCGGUCGAUACGGGCAGGCUAGAGUUCGGUAGGGGAGACUGGAAUUCCUGGGUGUAGCGGUGAAAUGCGCAGAUAUCAGGAGGAACACCGGUGACGAAGGCGGCUCUCUGGGACGGUACUGACGCUGAGACGCGAAAGCGUGGGGAGCGAACAGG